GUAUUUAUCCAUGCAAGGAAAGCGGGAAAUUAUCAAAAAUAGUUGGUUUAUUCGCAGGAUUUCUCAUAGUAUAAGUGUUGAUAAACUAUUAAGGAUUAUUCGAACAGAUGAGCACGGGAAUGUCUAGAUAAGCGGCAAUCAGAAAAGAGUUAUAGACUAUGCACACGCAGGACACUUAUGCUUGUUUGACAGAGGCAACCAGAUAUUUAUUGUAGAGCAUAAGAAUGGGUAGAAGAAAAUGUUCUUGGAAUUUGAAAAAAAUAUCCACGUCCAGCAUAGCAAAUGCCAUUAAAGAACUCAAAAUAACACAUAUAAAAAAAUCACGUAAAGCUGAAACAUUUGGUCUCAUCUGCUCCAAAAUAGGAAGAAAGAAUACAAAGGCUAACAGAUUAGCAGUUGAAUAUUUAUUUAAAAGGAGAUGUAUUGGAAAAAUGUACAAGAGAUCACCUAAGAUAAAGUAUACCUCUACAGAGUAUACCAACAUGUACCAACCUAGAAAAAGUAGACUAAAACUUGCACUCUCGUCGGAAAAAAAGAAGUUCAAGUGGAAACUAUUGAAGAAAAGAUUCAAGGACAAUAACAUAGUGAAGGGACAAGGGGUUAAUGAAACGUUCAAAAAGAGAAAAAUUGGUUUCACAAAGUAUACAAAAGAAGAAUCAGGUACAUAUCGCGGUUGUAUAUAAUGUGUUCUUUGACAUUUUGAAAGGAGUACGUCCGGUAAGAGCCGAUUUUGGCCUCAAUUUUCAAGUUCAUCUGACGACAGAUUUCUUAAAACACUUAAGUGUCUAUUUCGGAUGAUUCAAUAAGUUAAUGUGAAAGAUUUUAACUGAUAUUCUCAUUAAAAACGCUCCGACUCUAGCUUGAAUAUUAAAAAUCCAUCAAAUAUGCCCCAAAAUGUCACUUUUCAGAUGGUUUUUGUCAGAAAUGAAAGUGGCCGCAUCCGAGUUCAUUCACAACCUUUAUAUAUGUUAUGUAAUACCAUAAAAUACAACUUGCAGUUAAAUAUUAUGAACGAACACGAAUGCAACCACUUUCAUUUAAGACGGAAACUGUCUGAAAUUUAGCUAAAAUGCUGCUUGUACCAGAUAUGUGUGCAUUGUAUUGUAAAAAACAGCCCAUGUUUAUGUAGCAUAAGCAUUUCACUUUCAAAUGAAUAACUACAGUUUUACAUCGUAACAAUUUUGUAAAACAGCUACAUUUUGGGGCCAAAAUGAGGGCUUACUGAACCUACUCCUUUACUUUUUUUACGGAUUAUGGACA